rnacentral:rRNA from 1 species
UACGUAGGUGGCAAGCGUUGUCCGGAAUUAUUGGGCGUAAAGCGCGUGUAGGCGGCCAGAUAAGUCCGCUGUGAAAUCUCGAGGCUCAACUUCGAGCUGUCGGUGGAAACUGUCUGGCUAGAGUCCGGAAGAGGAGAAUGGAAUUCCUGGUGUAGCGGUGAAAUGACGCGAUAUCAGGAAGAACAGCCCGUGGCGAAGGCGGUUCUCUGGGACGGUACUGACGCUGAGACGGCGAAAGCGUGGGGAGCGAACAGG